rnacentral:rRNA from 1 species
UACGGGGGGGGCAAGCGUUGUUCGGAAUUACUGGGCGUAAAGGGCUCGUAGGUGGCCAACUAAGUCAUACGUGAAAUCCCUCAGCUUAACUGGGGAACUGCGCCUGAUACUGGUUGGCUUGAGUUUGGGAGAGGGACGCGGAAUUCCCGGUGUAGCAGUGAAAUGCGUAGAUAUCGGGAGGAACACCAGUGGCGAAGGCGGCCUUCUGGACCAGUACUGACGCUCAUGCACGAAAGCGUGGGGAGCAAACAGG